UUAAUGAGAGUUUGAUCCUGGCUCAGGACGAACGCUGGCGGCGUGCCUAAUACAUGCAAGUAGAACGCUGAUGUUUGGUGUUUACACUAGACUGAUGAGUUGCGAACGGGUGAGUAACGCGUAGGUAACCUGCCUCAUAGCGGGGGAUAACUAUUGGAAACGAUAGCUAAUACCGCAUAAGAGUGAUUAACACAUGUUAGUUAUUUAAAAGGAGCAAUUGCUUCACUGUGAGAUGGACCUGCGUUGUAUUAGCUAGUUGGUGAGGUAAAGGCUCACCAAGGCGACGAUACAUAGCCGACCUGAGAGGGUGAUCGGCCACACUGGGACUGAGACACGGCCCAGACUCCUACGGGAGGCAGCAGUAGGGAAUCUUCGGCAAUGGACGGAAGUCUGACCGAGCAACGCCGCGUGAGUGAAGAAGGUUUUCGGAUCGUAAAGCUCUGUUGUUAGAGAAGAACGUUGGUAGGAGUGGAAAAUCUACCAAGUGACGGUAACUAACCAGAAAGGGACGGCUAACUACGUGCCAGCAGCCGCGGUAAUACGUAGGUCCCGAGCGUUGUCCGGAUUUAUUGGGCGUAAAGCGAGCGCAGGCGGUUCUUUAAGUCUGAAGUUAAAGGCAGUGG
rnacentral:rRNA from 1 species